AGCCGAAGGGAAACCGAGUCUUAAUUGGGCGUUAAGUUGCAGGGUAUAGACCCGAAACCCGGUGAUCUAGCCAUGGGCAGGUUGAAGGUUGGGUAACACUAACUGGAGGACCGAACCGACUAAUGUUGAAAAAUUAGCGGAUGACCUGUGGCUGGGGGUGAAAGGCCAAUCAAACCGGGAGAUAGCUGGUUCUCCCCGAAAGCUAUUUAGGUAGCGCCUCGUGAACUCAUCUCCGGGGGUAGAGCACUGUUUCGGCUAGGGGGCCAUCCCGGCUUACCAACCCGAUGCAAACUGCGAAUACCGGAGAAUGUUAUCACGGGAGACACACGGCGGGUGCUAACGUCCGUCGUGAAGAGGGAAACAACCCAGACCGCCAGCUAAGGUCCCAAAGUCAUGGUUAAGUGGGAAACGAUGUGGGAAGGCCCAGACAGCCAGGAUGUUGGCUUAGAAGCAGCCAUCAUUUAAAGAAAGCGUAAUAGCUCACUGGUCGAGUCGGCCUGCGCGGAAGAUGUAACGGGGCUAAACCAUGCACCGAAGCUGCGGCAGCGACACUUUAGUGUUGUUGGGUAGGGGAGCGUUCUGUAAGCCGUUGAAGGUGUCCUGUGAGGGGUGCUGGAGGUAUCAGAAGUGCGAAUGCUGACAUAAGUAACGAUAAAGCGGGUGAAAAGCCCGCUCGCCGGAAGACCAAGGGUUCCUGUCCAACGUUAAUCGGGGCAGGGUGAGUCGACCCCUAAGGCGAGGCCGAAAGGCGUAGUCGAUGGGAAACGGGUUAAUAUUCCCGUACUUGGUGUUACUGCGAAGGGGGGACGGAGAAGGCUAUGUUGGCCGGGCGACGGUAGUCCCGGUUUAAGCGUGUAGGCUGGUUUUCCAGGCAAAUCCGGAAAAUCAAGGCUGAGGCGUGAUGACGAGGCACCACGGUGCUGAAGCAACAAAUGCCCUGCUUCCAGGAAAAGCCUCUAAGCAUCAGGUAACAUCAAAUCGUACCCCAAACCGACACAGGUGGUCAGGUAGAGAAUACCAAGGCGCUUGAGAGAACUCGGGUGAAGGAACUAGGCAAAAUGGUGCCGUAACUUCGGGAGAAGGCACGCUGACACGUAGGUGAAGUGAUUUACUCAUGGAGCUGAAGUCAGUCGAAGAUACCAGCUGGCUGCAACUGUUUAUUAAAAACACAGCACUGUGCAAACACGAAAGUGGACGUAUACGGUGUGACGCCUGCCCGGUGCCGGAAGGUUAAUUGAUGGGGUCAGCGCAAGCGAAGCUCCUGAUCGAAGCCCCGGUAAACGGCGGCCGUAACUAUAACGGUCCUAAGGUAGCGAAAUUCCUUGUCGGGUAAGUUCCGACCUGCACGAAUGGCGUAAUGAUGGCCAGGCUGUCUCCACCCGAGACUCAGUGAAAUUGAACUCGCUGUGAAGAUGCAGUGUACCCGCGGCAAGACGGAAAGACCCCGUGAACCUUUACUAUAGCUUGACACUGAACAUUGAGCCUUGAUGUGUAGGAUAGGUGGGAGGCUUUGAAGCGUGGACGCCAGUCUGCGUGGAGCCGACCUUGAAAUACCACCCUUUAAUGUUUGAUGUUCUAACGUGGACCCGUAAUCCGGGUUGCGGACAGUGUCUGGUGGGUAGUUUGACUGGGGCGGUCUCCUCCUAAAGAGUAACGGAGGAGCACGAAGGUUGGCUAAUCCUGGUCGGACAUCAGGAGGUUAGUGCAAUGGCAUAAGCCAGCUUGACUGCGAGCGUGACGGCGCGAGCAGGUGCGAAAGCAGGUCAUAGUGAUCCGGUGGUUCUGAAUGGAAGGGCCAUCGCUCAACGGAUAAAAGGUACUCCGGGGAUAACAGGCUGAUACCGCCCAAGAGUUCAUAUCGACGGCGGUGUUUGGCACCUCGAUGUCGGCUCAUCACAUCCUGGGGCUGAAGUAGGUCCCAAGGGUAUGGCUGUUCGCCAUUUAAAGUGGUACGCGAGCUGGGUUUAGAACGUCGUGAGACAGUUCGGUCC
rnacentral:rRNA from 1 species